rnacentral:rRNA from 1 species
AGUGAACGCUGGCGGUAGGCCUAACACAUGCAAGUCGAACGGCAGCACAGUAAGAGCUUGCUCUUACGGGUGGCGAGUGGCGGACGGGUGGGGAAUACAUCGGAAUCUACUUUUUCGUGGGGGAUAACGUAGGGAAACUUACGCUAAUACCGCAUACGACCUACGGGUGAAAGCAGGGGAUCUUCGGACCUUGCGCGAUUGAAUGAGCCGAUGUCGGAUUAGCUAGUUGGCGGGGUAAAGGCCCACCAAGGCGACGAUCCGUAGCUGGUCUGAGAGGAUGAUCAGCCACACUGGAACUGAGACACGGUCCAGACUCCUACGGGAGGCAGCAGUGGGGAAUAUUGGACAAUGGGCGCAAGCCUGAUCCAGCCAUACCGCGUGGGUGAAGAAGGCCUUCGGGUUGUAAAGCCCUUUUGUUGGGAAAGAAAAGUAGCAGGUUAAUACCCCGCUGUUCUGACGGUACCCAAAGAAUAAGCACCGGCUAACUUCGUG